rnacentral:rRNA from 1 species
UAGAGUUUGAUCAUGGCUCAGGAUGAACGCUAGCGACAGGCUUAACACAUGCAAGUCGAGGGGCAGCGGGAGGGAAGCUUGCUUUCCUUGCUGGCGACCGGCGCACGGGUGAGUAACACGUAUGCAACCUGCCCUCUUCAGGGGGACAACCUUCCGAAAGGGAGGCUAAUCCCGCGUAUAUCGGUUUCGGGCAUCCGAGAUCGAGGAAAGAUUCAUCGGAAGAGGAUGGGCAUGCGGCGCAUUAGCUUGACGGCGGGGUAACGGCCCACCGUGGCGACGAUGCGUAGGGGUUCUGAGAGGAAGGUCCCCCACACUGGUACUGAGACACGGACCAGACUCCUACGGGAGGCAGCAGUGAGGAAUAUUGGUCAAUGGGCGAGAGCCUGAACCAGCCAAGUCGCGUGAGGGAGUACUGCCCUAUGGGUUGUAAACCUCUUUUGUCGGGGAGCAAAAGCCGGACGUGUCCGUCUGUGAGAGUACCCGAAGAAAAAGCAUCGGCUAACUCCGUGCCAGCAGCCGCGGUAAUACGGAGGAUGCGAGCGUUAUCCGGAUUUAUUGGGUUUAAAGGGUGCGCAGGCGGAUUUUUAAGUCAGCGGUCAAAUCGUGGGGCUCAACCCCGUCGAGCCGUUGAAACUGGCAGACUUGAGUUGGCGAGAAGUACGCGGAAUGCGCGGUGUAGCGGUGAAAUGCAUAGAUAUCGCGCAGAACUCCGAUUGCGAAGGCAGCGUACCGGCGCCAGACUGACGCUGAGGCACGAAAGCGUGGGGAUCGAACAGGAUUAGAUACCCUGGUAGUCCACGCCGUAAACGAUGAUUACUAGGUGUCGGUGGGUAUGGACCCAUCGGUGCCGCAGCAAACGCAGUAAGUAAUCCACCUGGGGAGUACGUUCGCAAGAAUGAAACUCAAAGGAAUUGACGGGGACCCGCACAAGCGGUGGAGCAUGUGGUUUAAUCCGAAGCAACGCGAAGAACCUUACCAAGUCUUGACAUCCUCUUGAAUAAAGGGUAAUGCCUUUAGGCCUUCGGGACAAGAGAGACAGGUGGUGCAUGGUUGUCGUCAGCUCGUGUCGUGAGAUGUUGGGUUAAGUCCCGCAACGAGCGCAACCCUUAUCUUCAGUAGCCAGCAGGUAAAGCUGGGCACUCUGGAGAGACUGCCGGGGAUAACCCGGAGGAAGGUGGGGAUGACGUCAAAUCAUCAUGCCCCUUAUGAUUUGGGCUACACACGUGCUACAAUGGCGUAAACAGAGGGAAGCGAGCCCGCGAGGGGGAGCAAAUCCCAAAAAUAACGUCCCAGUUCGGAUUGUAGUCUGCAACCCGACUACAUGAAGCUGGAAUCGCUAGUAAUCGCGGAUCAGAAUGCCGCGGUGAAUACGUUCCCGGGUCUUGUACACACCGCCCGUCACACCAUGGGAGUCGGAAAUGCCCGAAGUCUGUGACCCAACCGCAAGGAGGGAGCAGCCGAAGGCAGGUCGGAUGACUGGGGUGAAGUCGUAACAAGGUAACCGUAA